UACGUAGGGUGCAAGCGUUGUCCGGAAUUAUUGGGCGUAAAGAGCUCGUAGGCGGCUUUACAGGUCCGUUGUGAAAACUCGAGGCUCAACCUCGAGACGCCGGUGGAAACCGUAAGGCUAGAGUCCGGAAGAGGAGAGUGGAAUUCCUGGUGUAGCGGUGAAAUGCGCAGAUAUCAGGAGGAACACCGAUGGCGAAGGCAGGUCUCUGGGCCACUACUGACGCUGAGAAGCGAAAGCAUGGGGAGCGAACAGG
rnacentral:rRNA from 1 species